UACGAGGGGGGCAAGCGUUGUUCGGAAUUAUUGGGCGUAAAGGGUGCGUAGGCGGUUUGGUAAGUCUUAUGUGAAAUCUACAGGCUCAACUUGUAGUCUGCAUGAGAAACUGCCGGGCUUGAGUAUGGGAGAGGUGAGUGGAAUUCCUGGUGUAGCGGUGAAAUGCGUAGAUAUCAGGAGGAACACCUGUGGCGAAAGCGGCUCACUGGACCGUAACUGACGCUGAUGCACGAAAGCUAGGGGAGCAAACAGG
rnacentral:rRNA from 1 species